rnacentral:rRNA from 1 species
UACGUAGGGUGCAAGCGUUAAUCGGAAUUACUGGGCGUAAAGCGUGCGCAGGCGGUUGUGCAAGACAGAUGUGAAAUCCCCGGGCUCAACCUGGGAAUUGCAUUUGUGACUGCACGGCUAGAGUGUGUCAGAGGGGGGUAGAAUUCCACGUGUAGCAGUGAAAUGCAUAGAUAUGUGGAGGAAUACCGAUGGCGAAGGCAGCCCCCUGGGAUAACACUGACGCUCAUGCACGAAAGCGUGGGGAGCAAACAGG